ACUACAAAAAAAUUUCAUUUCCCUCUCUAUCUUCUUCUUAUUCUUCCUCUCUCUCACACAGAAACUCACACUCUCUCUCCCUUCACUUUCAGACCCAUACUCGGAAACCCCCAAACCCCAAACACAGAAACCCCAAUGGAGAGACCCAUACUCGGAAACCCCCAAACCCCAAACGCAGAAACCCCAACAGAGAGACCCAAACCCAAACCUCAGUUAUAUAAGGAGUUGUUCUCUCUCCCUACGCCUCUCCUCUCCUCUGCAAUAUCCCUCUCCCUACGUCGAGCCAGCCUCCUCUGUAAUCUCUCUCCCUAUGCAUCUCCUCUCCUCUGCAAUCCAACUCAAACUAGGCGAACCAGAUGCGAACCACGAGCUGAUCUCCUAAAGCCGAGCCGAGCCCAGAUGCCUCUUCCCUCCCUAAAGUCGAGCCCAGAUGCCUCUUCUCCCCUAAAGCUGAGCCAAGAUGAUCUCCUAGCUUGAACCCAAACCGGCGUUCAACUCAACUCCAUUCUUGAACCCAACGUCGAGCCCAUUCACAUCUGGAUUCUUGCUAAUAGACAAUCUGUUGCGCGGUCUAAAGAGUGGAAGAUUCGCUAUACCAAUGAGCUACAGAGGAAGGUCCAGACCCUUCAAACUGAAGCCACCACCCAUUCUGCGCAGGUUGCAUUGCUCCAAAGGGAUACUACUGGGUUAACUGCUGAGAAUAAGGAGCUCAAAAUGCAGUUACAGGCUAUGGAGCAACAAGCACAACUCAGAGAGGGAUGAAGGCCUUCACGAUUCAAGUAAAAUUGCUGCUUUUGAUUUUGAUGGAUGUCUUGCAAACACUUCUGUUAGAAGGGUAGGUCCGGAUGCUUGGUCUCUGAUGUAUCCUUCAAUACCUGCUAAGCUACAAAGCCUGUACAAUGAUGGCUAUAAACUGGUUAUUUUCUUUCCGUAUAAUCUAUCUCAAAUGUCAUGUAUUUGUCUUAUGAUUUCUCCUAGUUUGACAUUGUACACCUGGUCAAUGCUUCGUGAACUUCUAAUUAUUUACAUUAUUCACCUAAUUCCAUUUGUAAUCAUUGUCAAGUUAUCUUUACCAAUGAAUCAAACAUUGAGCGCUGGAAAAAUAAUAGACAAGUUGCUGUGGACUCAAAAAUUGGUCGCCUAAACAAAUUAAUGAGAUAAUGAAAGUCCCAAUUCAGGUUUUCAUUGCUUGUGGAGUAAGUAAUUCUAAAGGUCAAGCAGACGAUCCCUACCGCAAACCAAAAUCAAGGAUGUGCUUCAUAUGGUGGAUUGUUGUAUUCUGUGGGUAAAUUAUACCUAAACUAUAUUUAUUGUCUCUAUUUACUCGAGAAUUUUUUAACUUCUCAAUAGUAAGAACAUAAAAGAUAAAAAAAAACCAACAUCAGUUAUUGCAAAUAAACAAAGAAUUUGAUGUGUUAUAUAAUAGUUUUAAUAUUUUUUCCAUCAUAAGUUCCAAUUAUAUAUGAUUAAAUGAAGAAUUUGUUAGAUAUGCUUUAGUUCUAAUGGUUCUUUAUAAAUUGUUGUAUAAUGUAUCAUUGUGUGUGUAUUUUUUUUAAUAAAGAGCUACAACUUUUAGUGUUUCAGAAACUAAAGAGAAAGAGCACAGCAGCUGCUGCACUCAAGUCACUUCAACAUAAACUUUAGAAAUACAAGAUAGAGUUGAACGAUUCGUAUAAGAAUACUCGAGUAUGCUUAUAACUUGUUCAUGUUGCACAGAACUAAUUACUAAUAAAUUAAGAUUAUAUUUGUAUUAGAUGAAAUAUAUUUUUAUUAAGUUUGCUAUGUAA